rnacentral:lncRNA from 1 species
AUUGUGCUUGUGCCUGCUGCUGCACACUCGCAGGCACGGGGCUAUAAUGAGGCGCACGCGAUCCCGGCUUCUCAACUUUGCCUUCUCGAAGGACACCGGGGUUUUAAAUCGCCUGGGCUAGAAUUACCAGGAAGGAAAAGAGAGAGAAAUGAAAUCCCAACUGUACCUGACGGCGUCUGGGAAUCCCUCGCCGGCACCGAUCAUAAUCCCCCUCCGCGCCUCUGGCCCCCCACACCAAAACUUUUCCGCUGCCGCCGCCGCUCCUCGGUUCUGACCGCCGCCCGCCGCUCCUGGCCAGCCCCUGGGGCCCGCUGCCCGCCGCCGCUCCGCUCCGGAGCGGCCCCCGCGUCUCCCUCCUCCCUUAGGAGGCAGCGGCAUCGUCCUCCCCCCUUCUCCUCCACCUCCUCCUACGGCGCGCAGCCCGCGGCUCUGGCAUCCCCAACGCACUUUCUCUCCUCGAUUCGCUCCUCUUUUCCCCGCCGCUCCUCCUUCUCCGGCAAAAAAGAAAUGAGAAGGGGCCACAGGGACGUUGCUUUCUUUUUCUUUCUUUUUUUUUUUUUUUUCUCUCUCUGUCUCUGUCCUCUAGAAAUGGUGCGAGGAUCACAUGAGACGCUGGCACGGAGACCCAGGACCCUUGGACGUCGGAGGAGGCAGCGGACACAUAGAUGUAAUUAUUCAAUCUCCUUCAAAUUCUUUGUAAAUAUGUAUCUGGCUUUUCCUGUGUAUGAUUUACAUAAAUAGGGGACAUCUGAGCCUAAUAAAAUGUACAAAAAUAUAAUUUAUCA